rnacentral:rRNA from 1 species
UACGAAGGGGGCUAGCGUUGUUCGGAAUUACUGGGCGUAAAGCGCACGUAGGCGGGUUUGUAAGUAGGGGGUGAAAUCCCAGGGCUCAACCCUGGAACUGCCUUCUAAACUGCAAGCCUGGAGGUCAGGAGAGGCGAGUGGAGUACCGAGUGUAGAGGUGAAAUUCGUAGAUAUUCGGUGGAACACCAGUGGCGAAGGCGACUCGCUGGACUGAUACUGACGCUGAGGUGCGAAAGCGUGGGGAGCAAACAGG